UGUCUUCAGAGUUGGAGCUCCUAAUUGGCCCUUUUUUAUUUUUUUUUUUACGUUAUACCCCUUUGGUUACAUUUUUCCCUUUUUAGGAGCUCAAUUUAUCAAAGCACACACUAGGAGCCAAAUAUAUUACCCAGGGCUGUGUGCAGAGUGACAUUUUGUCUCCUACCAACUGUCCCAACCCUAAACACUCAUAUCCAUGAGCUGGUUUAAUAACUUAAGAUGGAAAAAGCAAAGGGGGUCUAAAGGACUCUGCCAGCUAAGAAUCCAGAAGCAAGGGCUACUAGAAUUCUGCAGCUGACAGUGGAUGGUGCAGGUGCAGAAUUGCAUACGUCUGCAUGUUAUCACUGCCGCAGAAAUCUCUUACCCUUGCUGCAGAAAUCAGCCCUGGAGUGCCCCAGAAUUCCAAGGGCCUGGGUAUGGGCCAGUGUAGCUUUGGAACCAAGUAGUGAAGAUUAUCUGAAGGAUAAUUUUUCUAGUCAACCAAAUGUAAGUACAGAGAUUUCCUACCCAUCUUUUUUUGUGGUCGUGAUGUCUGUGAAUUGGUGGUGCAGAUGUGUGGUGACUUUUGAUGAAUGACUUUCUUCUUCUCCCAGCCCUCAAGGAAACCAGCAAAUCAAAAGGGUCUCUUGCUUUUUUUUUUCUUUUUGUCCUCCAGCAUCACCAACUUGAAGUACUGGGGCCGUUGUGAACCAAUCACCUCCAAGACACUACAGCUUCUCAAUGACCUCUCCAUUGGGUACAGUAGUGUAAGGAAGCUAGUGAAGCUUAGUGCGGUACAGUUCAUGCUGAACAAUCACACGGUGAGUGAUUUUAGCUUUUUUUCCUGGCCCUCCUACCACCCACACAUACACUUUCUCGAUACAUAAAGGAGAUAUGUAAACUGAGGUCCCGGGUAUUGCUACAGCAAAGACUGUGGUCCUGAUUCCCACAACACUGCCAGAUUAUACUUACGUCAUCAGAGUGGCUCUUUGAGAUCCAGAUGAUCUGAGUUAUGGUGAAGUCAC
rnacentral:sRNA from 1 species